UACGUAGGGGGCAAGCGUUGUCCGGAAUUAUUGGGCGUAAAGAGCGUGUAGGCGGCCAGAUAAGUCCGCUGUGAAAUCUCGAGGCUCAACUUCGAGCUGUCGGUGGAAACUAUCUGGCUAGAGUCCGGAAGAGGAGAAUGGAAUUCCUGGUGUAGCGGUGAAAUGCGCAGAUAUCAGGAAGAACACCAAUGGCGAAGGCAGCUCUCUGGGACGGUACUGACGCUGAGACGCGAAAGCGUGGGGAGCGAACAGG
rnacentral:rRNA from 1 species